CAGUCGCCGCGGGAAUACGAAGGGUGCAAGCGUUAAUCGGAAUUACUGGGCGUAAAGCGUGCGUAGGCGGUUUGUUAAGUCUGCUGUGAAAUCCCCGGGCUCAACCUGGGAAUGGCAGUGGAUACUGGCAAGCUAGAGUGUGUCAGAGGAUGGUGGAAUUCCCGGUGUAGCGGUGAAAUGCGUAGAGAUCGGGAGGAACAUCAGUGGCGAAGGCGGCCAUCUGGGACAACACUGACGCUGAGGCACGAAAGCAUGGGGAGCAAACAGGAUUAGAUACCCCGGUAGUCCCUGUCUCUUAUAA
rnacentral:rRNA from 1 species